rnacentral:rRNA from 1 species
UCCUGGCUCAGGAUGAACGCUAGCGGCAGGCUUAACACAUGCAAGUCGAGGGGUAUAAGUCUUCGGAUUUAGAGACCGGCGCACGGGUGCGUAACGCGUAUGCAAUCUACCUUUUACAGAGGGAUAGCCCAGAGAAAUUUGGAUUAAUACCUCAUAGCAUAGCAAUCUCGCAUGAGAUCACUAUUAAAGUCACAACGGUAAAAGAUGAGCAUGCGUCCCAUUAGCUAGUUGGUAAGGUAACGGCUUACCAAGGCUACGAUGGGUAGGGGUCCUGAGAGGGAGAUCCCCCACACUGGUACUGAGACACGGACCAGACUCCUACGGGAGGCAGCAGUGAGGAAUAUUGGACAAUGGGCGCAAGCCUGAUCCAGCCAUGCCGCGUGCAGGAUGACGGUCCUAUGGAUUGUAAACUGCUUUUGUACGAGAAGAAACACUGCUUCGUGAAGCAGCUUGACGGUAUCGUAAGAAUAAGGAUCGG